UCGGUGGGGGAUUAGUGGCGAACGGGUGAGUAACACGUGGGCAAUCUGCCCUUCACUCUGGGACAAGCCCUGGAAACGGGGUCUAAUACCGGAUAUGACCACUUCAGGCAUCUGAUGGUGGUGGAAAGCUCCGGCGGUGAAGGAUGAGCCCGCGGCCUAUCAGCUUGUUGGUGAGGUAAUGGCUCACCAAGGCGACGACGGGUAGCCGGCCUGAGAGGGCGACCGGCCACACUGGGACUGAGACACGGCCCAGACUCCUACGGGAGGCAGCAGUGGGGAAUAUUGCACAAUGGGCGAAAGCCUGAUGCAGCGACGCCGCGUGAGGGAUGACGGCCUUCGGGUUGUAAACCUCUUUCAGCAGGGAAGAAGCGCAAGUGACGGUACCUGCAGAAGAAGCGCCGGCUAACUACGUGCCAGCAGCCGCGGUAAUACGUAGGGCGCAAGCGUUGUCCGGAAUUAUUGGGCGUAAAGAGCUCGUAGGCGGCUUGUCGCGUCGGAUGUGAAAGCCCGGGGCUUAACCCCGGGUCUGCAUUCGAUACGGGCAGGCUAGAGUGUGGUAGGGGAGAUCGGAAUUCCUGGUGUAGCGGUGAAAUGCGCAGAUAUCAGGAGGAACACCGGUGGCGAAGGCGGAUCUCUGGGCCAUUACUGACGCUGAGGAGCGAAAGCGUGGGGAGCGAACAGGAUUAGAUACCCUGGUAGUCCACGCCGUAAACGUUGGGAACUAGGUGUUGGCGACAUUCCACGUCGUCGGUGCCGCAGCUAACGCAUUAAGUUCCCCGCCUGGGGAGUACGGCCGC
rnacentral:rRNA from 1 species